rnacentral:rRNA from 1 species
AUUUAACUUGGAACCCAAACUUCUCAAUUCUAACUUUGUGCAUCUGUAUUAAUGGCGAGCAACUUCGGUUGUGAGCCUUCACUUACAAAACACUAGUCUAUGAAUGUAAAAUUUUUAUAACAAAUAAAAACUUUCAACAACGGAUCUCUUGGCUCUCGCAUCGAUGAAGAACGCAGCGAAAUGCGAUACGUAAUGUGAAUUGCAGAAUUCAGUGAAUCAUCGAAUCUUUGAACGCAUCUUGCGCUCUCUGGUAUUCCGGAGAGCAUGUCUGUUUGAGUGUCAUGAAUUCUUCAACCCAAUCUUUUCUUGUAAUCGAUUGGUGUUUGGAUUCUGAGCGUUGCUGGCGUUUGCCUAGCUCGUUCGUAAUACAUUAGCAUCCCUAAUACAAGUUUGGAUUGACUUGGCGUAAUAGACUAUUCGCUAAGGAUUCGGUGGAAACAUCGAGCCAACUUCAUUAAGGAAGCUCCUAAUUUAAAAGUCUACCUUUUGAUUAGAUCUCAAAUCAGGCAGGAUUACCCGCUGAACUUAAGCAUAUCAAUAAGCGGAGGA